rnacentral:rRNA from 1 species
ACGGGGGGACUCCUACGGGAGGCAGCAGUAGGGAAUCUUCCACAAUGGACGAAAGUCUGAUGGAGCAACGCCGCGUGAGCGAUGAAGGCCUUCGGGUCGUAAAGCUCUGUUGUUAGGGAAGAACAAGUACCGGAGUAACUGCCGGUACCUUGACGGUACCUAACCAGAAAGCCACGGCUAACUACGUGCCAGCAGCCGCGGUAAU